AGAGGGUGCAAGCGUUAAUCGGAAUUACUGGGCGUAAAGCGCGCGUAGGUGGUUUGUUAAGUUGAAUGUGAAAUCCCCGGGCUCAACCUGGGAACUGCAUCCAAAACUGGCAAGCUAGAGUAUGGUAGAGGGUGGUGGAAUUUCCUGUGUAGCGGUGAAAUGCGUAGAUAUAGGAAGGAACACCAGUGGCGAAGGCGACCACCUGGACUGAUACUGACACUGAGGUGCGAAAGCGUGGGGAGCAAAC
rnacentral:rRNA from 1 species